rnacentral:rRNA from 1 species
CAGCCUGCCCAGUGACACAACUGUUAAACGGCCGCGGUACUCUGACCGUGCGAAGGUAGCAUAAUCACUUGUUCUUUAAAUGGGGACUAGUAUCAACGGUGCCACGAGGGCUUCCCUGUCUCCUUUUUCCAAUCAGUGAAACUGAUCUCCCUGUGAAGAAGCAGGGAUACUAAUAUAAGACGAGAAGACCCCAUGGAGCUUUAAACUCAACAGACAACCCGACACAUAUUUUUUCAUCUUAGUCAUCAAAAGCCAUGUUUGUUAGUUUUAGGUUGGGGUGACCAUGGAGUAAAACUUAACCUCCACGACGCACGGGACUUGAUACUCCCUUAUCCAAGAGCCACGACUCUAAUAAUUAAAAUAUUAACGUAAAAUGAUCCAAACAUUUGAUCAACGGACCAAGUUACCAUGGGGAUAACA